CUGAUAAAGGCGUCUGGGUGGAAAUCGGAGUCGAUCGCCCUGUGCCCCUCGUCACAGACGAGAAAUACAAGUUGGGGCAGCGCCUGAACGUCAG
rnacentral:ncRNA from 1 species